UGCGGGCGACGUUUGGAGGAUAGUCCAAGAAGCGGGAUGGGUACCUUUUAGUCUGCAACUGAUCAAGGCAUAUAUGGAAAUUGCCAAAGACGGCUGGUGGGUAGCUGAAGUUGACGGGAAAGUUGUAGGCUGCGUGAUGCUAUAUGGUUUCAAUGAAACGUACACAUUCCUUGGUAUACUGAUUGUGGAAGCUGAAUAUAGAGGAAAGGGUAUUGGGAAAGCACUCAAAAAAGGAAGUGGACUCCUUUGCUGGUGACAGGACAAUCUCUUUAGUUGGAGGUGAAGCUGGGAUGCCUGUCUAUUUCAAAUGGGGCUUCAAAAGAUCCAUACGUGGUUCUUUGGUUAAAUAUCGGUUUACUACAAUAAAAAUCCCACUGUCACACGAUGCUGAGUCCAAAUAUGAAAUAAAAGAUUAUUCAGAGGUUGAUUGGAAAGCUAUUUUGGACUACGACACCUCUUUCCAUGUCAUUCCCAGGGAACGUGUUCUCCAAAUAUGGUUUGGAAUCGAAGAUUCCAAGACCAAAGUAUUGCUGCAGGAUGGGAAAAUUGCUGGGUACGGCACCAUAAUGCCUGCAAAUGAUGGGUUCGCUGUCAGUCCUCUGUACGGAGAGACUCCUGAAGCCUGUUUGGUCCUGUUUAAGAGGCUUGUUGCCCCUCUACCGCCUAGCUCGCCCGUGUAUCUCACAAUCCCGGAUUCUAGCCAAGCUGGACAACUAUUACUUGGGGCCAACGCUGACACGGCAAUUCAGAUUACAACCGGCGUUGAAAUGGAAAAUAAUACUACUCCUCCUUUUCCGAAAUGGUGCAAUGCACUGUCGUUAAUGUCUGCGUCUUUGUGCUUUUUGUAAAGGCGAAAAUGCGCAUUUCGACUUAGGCUGCAUUAACAACAGUGGACUAACAAGUCCGAGUGUCAAAUAUGGCCGACCCACUUGAAUACUUCCCCACGGGAUAUCUAUUAAGUCUUUAGUUAACGACCAACGCAAUAUUUGUGUUUUUUGUUCUUCCUCUACUCAAUUUUUCUGAAAUAAAUGCCGUUAAUUUAUGUAUAGAUAAUACACGUAUUGGAGUUCAGUUUAUGUUCCAAAUAAAAAUAAUUAUCGAUUUACGAGCAAUACAGUGCCCCUAUAUGUAAUAUGUUAUAAUAUGAUGUUGGGAAUGCGUUUGAAUGAUUAAUGCAGUAAAGGCGGACAUGAAAGGGCGACAUAUCGGAAGCGCAACCAAAAUCCUUAAAUCCCUGUAGAAUUUGUGUCUAUUAGUAUAAUCAUUUAUGAACGAAAGCGCUCUCUGGAAUUGGCGUGUAGUGUGGCAAGUAUGCAACUUUGAAACCGUAACUUACUUUCUUGAUAGGCCUAUCUGUCAGUUUAAUAAGGAAUUCUAUUUCCAAGUUGUCUUGCCGACAUGACGCAAUUCUGGUGACCAAAUCUGACUAGACGACUUUUGGUUCUUGCGUUUGCAAACCUUGGUCGCUUAUUAUGAGGUCCGUCCCAAAGCUGGUUCAUUUGAUGCCAUUUUGCUACCAGUUUUAGGGGCGGAUCCGGGAUUGUUUGAAGGGGGGUCCGCGGAUGCGAAUACGCCCCCCUCCUUUGCGAGGGGUUCGGGGUUCGUUGAAGGGCACAGAAAACUUUUGGCAUUUUAGAGUGCAAAUGGUGCCAU
rnacentral:lncRNA from 1 species